UCCGCAAUGGACGAAAGUCUGACGGAGCGACGCCGCGUGCGGGAUGAAGGCCCUUGGGUUGUAAACCGCUGUCAGAGGGGAUGAAAUCUUCGGAGGUACUCCUCCGAAGUUGACAGAGCCUCAAAGGAAGCACGGGCUAAGUACGUGCCAGCAGCCGCGGUAACACGUACUGUGCGAACGUUAUUCGGAAUCACUGGGCUUAAAGGGUGCGUAGGCGGGUGGACAAGUCGAGGGUGAAAGCCUCUAGCUUAACUAGAGAAGUGCCCUCGAUACUGUUUGUCUUGAGAGAGAUAGGGGCACACGGAACUUCCGGUGGAGCGGUGAAAUGCGUAGAUAUCGGAAGGAACGCCGGUGGCGAAAGCGGUGUGCUGGAUCUUUUCUGACGCUGAGGCACGAAAGCUAGGGUAGCGAACGGGAUUAGAUACCCCGGUAGUCCUAGCCCUAAACGAUGAGUACUAGAUUGUGGACUGACAUGGGUUCACAGUCGAAGCAAAAGUAUUAAGUACUCCGCCUGGGGAGUAUGGUCGCAAGGCUGAAACUCAAAGGA
rnacentral:rRNA from 1 species